rnacentral:rRNA from 1 species
AGAGUUUGAUCAUGGCUCAGAAUGAACGCUGGCGGCGUGCUAAACACAUGCAAGUCGAACGAGGCGGAAAGGGGCAACUCCUUCCAGUCGAGUGGCGGACGGGUGAGUAACACGUGGGUAACCUGCCCGGAAGUGGGGAAUACCUCGGGGAAACUCGAGCUAAUUCCGCAUGACAUCUCCGGGACGAAAGUCCUGGCGAUCAAAGCGGGGUCGCAGGAUCUCGCGCUACCGGAUGGGCCCGCGCCCGAUUAGCUAGUUGGUGAGGUAACGGCUCACCAAGGCUUCGAUCGGUAACCGGCCUGAGAGGGCGAUCGGUCACACCGGAACUGAGACACGGUCCGGACUCCUACGGGAGGCAGCAGUGGGGAAUCUUGCGCAAUGGGCGAAAGCCUGACGCAGCAACGCCGCGUGGAGGAUGAAGGCCCUUGGGUUGUAAACUCCUGUCGGCUGGGAAGAAAUCGUUCGCGGCUCAUACCCGCGGACGUUGACUGUACCAGCAAAGGAAGCCCCGGCUAACUCUGUGCCAGCAGCCGCGGUAAUACAGAGGGGGCCAGCGUUAUUCGGAAUUAUUGGGCGUAAAGGGCGCGUAGGCGGCCAUGCGUGUCUUCCGUGAAAUCCCUCGGCUUAACUGAGGACGUGCGGAAGAAACUGCGAGGCUCGAGUCCGGGAGAGGGGGGGUGGAAUUCCCAGUGUAGCGGUGAAAUGCGUAGAUAUUGGGAGGAACACCGGUGGCGAAGGCGGCCCCCUGGACCGGUACUGACGCUGAGGCGCGAAAGCGUGGGUAGCAAACGGGAUUAGAUACCCCGGUAGUCCACGCCGUAAACGAUGGGGCACUUGGUGUCGCGGGUAUCGACCCCUGCGGUGCCGAAGCAACGCAUUAAGUGCCCCGCCUGGGGAGUACGGUCGCAAGGCUGAAACUCAAAUGAAUUGACGG